rnacentral:rRNA from 1 species
AAUCUGAAGACGUGAUGUGGACUGAAAAUAAGUAGGGAAGCACGUGAGCUGACUGUCAAGAAAAGCCGCUAUUGUUUGCAGGAUACCCGUACCGUAAACCGACACAGGUGGAUGAGGAGAGAAUCCUAAGGCCGACGGGAGAAGCAUUGUUAAGGAACUCGGCAAAAUGACUCCGUAACUUCGGGAGAAGGAGUGCCAGUAAGAUGGCCGCAGAGAAUUGGCCCAAGCAACUGUUUAGCAAAAACACAGGUCUAUGCAAAACCGAAAGGUGAGGUAUAUGGGCUGACGCCUGCCCGGUGCUGGAAGGUUAAGGGGAGAGGUUAGCGCAAGCGAAGCUUUGAACUUAAGCCCCAGUAAACGGCGGCCGUAACUAUAACGGUCCUAAGGUAGCGAAAUUCCUUGUCGGGUAAGUUCCGACCCGCACGAAAGGCGUAAUGAUUUGAGCGCUGUCUCGACAAUGCAUCCGGUGAAAUUGAAGUACCAGUGAAGAUGCUGGUUACCUGCGCCAGGACGGAAAGACCCCAUGGAGCUUUACUCCAGUUUGGUACUGGGGUCCGGUAUUGCAUGUACAGGAUAGGUGGGAGGCUAGGAAGCAGUAACGCCAGUUGCUGCGGAGCCGCUGUUGGGAUACCACCCUUGCAGUACUGGGCUUCUAACCAGCCGCCGUGAACCGGCGGUGGGACAAUGCCAGACGGGGAGUUUGACUGGGGCGGUCGCCUCCGAAAGGGUAUCGGAGGCGCCCAAAGGUUCCCUCAGAAUGGACGGAAACCAUUCGAAGAGUGCAAAGGCAGAAGGGAGCUUGACUGCGACACCGACGGGUGGAGCAGGUACGAAAGUAGGGCUUAGUGAUCCGGUGGUAUUAAGUGGGAAUGCCAUCGCUCAACGGAUAAAAGCUACCCUGGGGAUAACAGGCUUAUCACUCCCAAGAGUUCACAUCGACGGAGUGGUUUGGCACCUCGAUGUCGGCUCAUCGCAUCCUGGGGCUGUAGUAGGUCCCAAGGGUUGGGCUGUUCGCCCAUUAAAGCGGUACGCGAGCUGGGUUCAGAACGUCGUGAGACAGUUCGGUCCCUAUCCGGCGUGGGCGUAGGAUAUCUGAGAGGAGCUGUCCUUAGUACGAGAGGACCGGGAUGGACGGACCGCUGGUGUACCGGUUAGACUGCCAAGUCUACGGCCGGGUAGCCAAGUCCGGAAGGGAUAAACGCUGAAGGCAUCUAAGCGUGAAGCCCCCCUCAAGAUGAGAUGUCCCAUUCGAAAGAAGUAAACCCCCUUGAAGACGACGAGGUAGAUAGGGCAGGGGUGGAAGUGUGGUAACACACGGAGCUGACUGUUACUAAUAGGGUGAGGGCUUGACCAA